ensembl:lncRNA novel transcript, antisense to PPP1R12A
UAGAGAUGGAGUUUCACCAUGUUGCCCAGGCUGGUUUUGAACUCCAGGGCUCAGGCCCACCUCCACCUCCCAAAGUGCUGGGAUUAUAGGUAUGGGCCACUGUGCCCAGCCCUAUGAAGAAUAUCUUCAAAGUAUAUAAAAUACUGCUUUUUCAAAAUAGGUACAACCUCUUCAUCUUCACAACAACGAAUAAUGUAGCUGGGACAAGUAUCAGAAUGAUUCUCACUGUACAGAUGAAGAAACUCAGUCUGCGUGCAUGGUAUUUGCCCAAGGUCAUACAGGUCAUUAAGAGAAAGUGGGAAUACAAUCUAGGUCUCUACUAGUGUGUCAUUUUGUCUUUAUCAAAAAUAAAAAUAAAUUCAGAUGGAAUUAGGGUAAAAAAAAUUCUUGUGUCCAUUAAUAGCAGAAAUAGCUUUGUUAUUCAUUUAAAUCUUUAUAAUGACAGUUAUAUUAAUCUAAAAACUUGUCUGCUAACCAUUGUAUUAAUUUGGUAAGAGAAAUUCCAACCAGAAAAGCAUUCUAGUCAAUAUUUAAAGAAAGAACAAUAUUAGAUACAUUCUAGUAAAGCAAUUAUUUUAAUAAAUUAAGAAAGCAAAUAAAAACCUUUGUAUUUAAGGUCUGUAUCACAUAAUUUAUAAUAAUGAAUUAAAAUGACAGUAAAUAUGUA